GCCGCGGUAGUAUAGCCUGGACUAGUAUGCGGGCCUGUCAAGGGUCCCGCCUCCGCCCCACCCUCCUUCUACUAUAUGCUUAACAGGAUAAACAGCCGGGCAAACGUUUUUUAACCCCACCCAAAUUUAUACUCUUCCCGGGGCGGAGGCGGGCCUGCGGAGAGCCCGUGACCCGGGUUCAAAUCCCGGCCGCGGCG
rnacentral:tRNA from 1 species